UACGUAGGGUGCAAGCGUUGUCCGGAAUUAUUGGGCGUAAAGAGCUCGUAGGCGGUUUGUCGCGUCUGCUGUGAAAACUCGGGGCUUAACCCCGGGCCUGCAGUGGGUACGGGCAGACUAGAGUGCGGUAGGGGAGACUGGAAUUCCUGGUGUAGCGGUGAAAUGCGCAGAUAUCAGGAGGAACACCAGCGGCGAAGGCGGCCCCCUGGGCCGCUCCGUGACGCUGAGACGCGAAGGCCAGGGUAGCGAACGGG
rnacentral:rRNA from 1 species